AGAUAAUAGAUACCCGGGUAGUCCUGGCCUUAAACGAUGGAUGCUUGGUGUCUGGAGUUUUAUAGUCUCCGGGUGCCGUAGCUAAACGCGUUAAGCAUCCCGCCUGGGGAGUACGGUCGCAAGACUGAAACUCAAAGGAAUUGACGGGGACCCGCACAAGCGGUGGAGCAUGUGGUUCAAUUCGACGCAACGCGAAGAACCUUACCUGGGCUAGAAUGCCUCUGACAACCCUAGAGAUAGGGCUUCCUAGGGAAACCUAGGCAGAGUGCAAGGUGCUGCAUGGCUGUCGUCAGCUCGUGCCGUGAGAUGUUGGGUUAAGUCCCGCAACGAGCGCAACCCUUAUCGAUAGUUGCUAGCGGUUCGGCCGAGCACUCUAUUGAGACUGCCGUUGACAAAACGGAGGAAGGUGGGGAUGACGUCAAGUCCUCAUGGCCUUUAUGUCCAGGGCUACACACGUGCUACAAUGGCAAGUACAAAGCGCUGCAAACUCGCGAGAGGGAGCCAAUCGCAAAAAGCUUGUCUCA
rnacentral:rRNA from 1 species